AAGCCAUUUUUCGAUGCACUAAAAUGAUAUAUGAAUGAAGCAAUGAUAUUUGACGGUUUAAUUACCCAAGUUUGAGGUAAUUGAAUGUUUCAGCCCAGAAUUAUAUCUGCUGUGGCUUGAAAUGAAAUUUUGGAAAGUCCUACAUUAGUGGGACAACAA
rnacentral:misc_RNA from 1 species